rnacentral:rRNA from 1 species
AUUGAACGCUGGCGGCAGGCCUAACACAUGCGAGUCGAGCGGAUGAAGGGAGCUUGCUCCUGGAUUCAGCGGCGGACGGGUGAGUAAUGCCUAGGAAUCUGCCUGGUAGUGGGGGAUAACGUCCGGAAACGGGCGCUAAUACCGCAUACGUCCUGAGGGAGAAAGUGGGGGAUCUUCGGACCUCACGCUAUCAGAUGAGCCUAGGUCGGAUUAGCUAGUUGGUGGGGUAAAGGCCUACCAAGGCGACGAUCCGUAACUGGUCUGAGAGGAUGAUCAGUCACACUGGAACUGAGACACGGUCCAGACCCCUACGGGAGGCAGCAGUGGGGAAUAUUGGACAAUGGGCGAAAGCCUGAUCCAGCCAUGCCGCGUGUGUGAAGAAGGUCUUCGGAUUGUAAAGCACUUUAAGUUGGGAGGAAGGGCAGUAAGUUAAUACCUUGCUGUUUUGACGUUACCAACAGAAUAAGCACCGGCUAACUUCGUG